ensembl:lincRNA
UUUGGGCAGCUUUAUGGGAAUACAGGUGCUGUCAACAGCAGCAGGGCCUUGUAUACAUUAGUGAGAGAAAAGCCAGGCAGUGGGAGAAAAGAGCAGAGUAAACAGCUGCCUCAGAGAGAGAGAGGGGGCAAAGAUGAAGAGGAGAGAGAGAAAGCCAGAGGGGGAGCUGGGGGGGAGAGGAGUGACAGGGAUAAAGGGAGGUUAGGAAAAAGAGGAAGACUUUUGGGACAGGGAGCAUGAAAAGACUGAGAGAGAAAUACUGAGAAAGAAAGAGGUGGGAGGAAAACCAAGUUCAAUCGCAUUAAGCAAUGACACCCUUGUAAACACAUGGUAGCCUCAGCAUGCGCAUUGCUCUCGCCAUCCUCACUCCAGCCCAGGAAUUUCCCAAACUCCUUUCAGCUCGGAGAGUAUCUCUGCCAGGCUGAGGAGUUUGGGGCUCCUGGGGGCUCUUUGGGGGCUGAAGGUGGUGGUGGAGGUCUCAGAGUGAGGAAUUCAGUUUCCUUCCGUCCCUCAAUUUUCUCUUCACCAUAA